rnacentral:rRNA from 1 species
UACGGAGGAUCCAAGCGUUAUCCGGAUUUAUUGGGUUUAAAGGGUGCGUAGGCGGCCUGUUAAGUCAGAGGUGAAAGACGGUAGCUCAACUAUCGCAGUGCCUUUGAUACUGACGGGCUUGAAUAAACUAGAGGUAGGCGGAAUGAGACAAGUAGCGGUGAAAUGCAUAGAUAUGUCUCAGAACACCGAUUGCGAAGGCAGCUUACUAUGGUUUUAUUGACGCUGAGGCACGAAAGCGUGGGGAUCAAACAGGAUUAGAUACCCCUGUAGU